AACGAACGCUGGCGGCAUGCCUAACACAUGCAAGUCGAACGAGACCUUCGGGUCUAGUGGCGCACGGGUGCGUAACGCGUGGGAACCUGCCCUUAGGUUCGGAAUAACUCCCCGAAAGGGGUGCUAAUACCGGAUAAUGUCUUCGGACCAAAGAUUUAUCGCCUUUGGAUGGGCCCGCGUUGGAUUAGCUAGUUGGUAGGGUAAAAGCCUACCAAGGCGACGAUCCAUAGCUGGUCUGAGAGGAUGAUCAGCCACACUGGGACUGAGACACGGCCCAGACGAGUAGGGGAGGGAGCAGUCGGGAAUCGUGCGGAAUGGGCGAAAGCAGGACGGAGCAACGGGGCGUGAGGUAUGAAGGUCUUCGGACCGGAAAACUAUGAUAGUAGGGAAGAACAAAUGUGUCAGUAACUAUGCACGUCUUGAAGGUAACUAAUCAGAAAGCCACGGCUAACUACGUG
rnacentral:rRNA from 1 species